AAAAAAUACUGUUUCCCUUGUGAAAGCCAAAAAGUAAUACUACAUACAAACGUAUCAAUUUAAAAAUUUUAAAAGAAAUUCUUGGAUGUGGGUCGAGAACAUUGUAGAAGACACAUUAAGUGUAAAGCCAAUGUACCAUUGCAGCUGUACGUGCUAUUCUGCUCUUUGAAAGAUGUCACUCCCAGGAGGGCAAUAAAUUAAGUUUUUGAGUUAAAUAGAGGUCAGCUUUCCUUCGCGCGCAAGAUGUAGAGAACAAAGACAAAGGACUGAAUUUUGUUUGAGCUAGGAUAGACGCAGUUAAAGCAAAAUGUGCAUUGUAAGAAAACUGGGAACGAUUAGAGGUGACAAUACGAAGUGUACGGAGAAUUAUGAGUUCCAUGAUAGACAUCGGUGUUGCAAAGAAAAUGAACUAGCUAGAGGGGGAUGACGAGAGCAUUUUCCUUUUUCUCAUUGAAAGAUGUGCUGCUGUUAACUGUGAGAAAGAAUGGAUGUUGCAAAGAUACAAAAGACAAAGAUACCGAAGAUGCUGAAAAGGACUGCAUGGUUACGAUACUCUUGCGAUAUGGAUUGGGGUAGGAAGGAGAGGAAAGGAAACAAAAAACGGCAGCAGAAUAGGAGGAGACCAACCGAUGAAUGGCCUUGAAAUGACUUUGAAUUUUUCGGUAUCUGGUGAAUUAUCAUUAUUACCCUUUGACUUUAAUUUAGUUUUUAAUUUUAAUUUUUGAUUUUGUGUUUUUAAUUCAUGUAAAUGAUUUAGUAAACCGUAUCAAAUUAUUUUAUUCUUGUUAUUUCUCCCUAUUAUUGGAAAUUAAAAGUAUGAGUCAUUGGUUGAGAACACUGGGUCAACGUAAAACAAACUCUGGGCCAACGUAAAAAGACGCUGAGCAAAUGUGAAAAUAACACCGGGCCAACAUCAGAGAAACAAUGUACCGAUGUAAGCUAGAGGAACGCUGGGCCAAUGUAAAAGAAACUCUAAGCCAACGUAAAAGACACAUUGGGCCAAUGUAAAAGACAUACUGGGCCAACAUAAGUUCAAUAUUUGUAGUCUAGUACAUAGGCCCAACAUAUAUCCAAGGUUGGGCCAACAUCCAUGCAAUUG